UACGUAGGGGGCUAGCGUUGUCCGGAAUCAUUGGGCGUAAAGCGCGUGUAGGCGGUCCGGUAAGUCCGCUGUGAAAGUCGGGGGGCUCAACCCUCGAAUGCCGGUGGAUACUGUCGGGCUAGAGUGCGGAAGAGGCGAGUGGAAUUCCUGGUGUAGCGGUGAAAUGCGCAGAGUAUCAGGAGGAACACCUAUUGCGAAGGCAGCUCGCUGGGACGUAACUGACGCUGAGACGCGAAAGCGUGAGGAGCAAACAGG
rnacentral:rRNA from 1 species